rnacentral:rRNA from 1 species
UACGGGGGGGGCAAGCGUUGUCCGGAAUCAUUGGGCGUAAAGAGCGUGUAGGCGGCUUUACAGGUCCGUUGUGAAAACUCGAGGCUCAACCUCGAGACGCCGGUGGAAACCGUAAGGCUAGAGUCCGGAAGAGGAGAGUGGAAUUCCUGGUGUAGCGGUGAAAUGCGCAGAUAUCAGGAGGAACACCCGUGGCGAAAGCGGCUCUCUGGGACGGUACUGACGCUGAGACGCGAAAGCGUGGGGAGCAAACAGG